CCAAUAGCGUAUAUUAAAGUUGUUGCAGUUAAAAAGCUCGUAGUUGAACUUCAGGCCUGUCCAGAUGGUCCGCCUUAAUUGGUGUGUACUGUCCUUGGGUGGGUCCUACCUUCUGGCGAAGCGGCAUGGCCUUAAUUGGUUGUGUUGGGGAACCAGGACUUUUACUGUGAAAAAAUUUGAGUGUUCAAAGCAGGCAAAUAUGCUCGAAUACAUUAGCAUGGAAUAAUGGAAUAGGACGAUGGUUCUAUUUUGUUGGUUCUAGGACCGUUGUAAUGAUUAAUAGGGAUAUUUGGGGGCAUUAGUAUUCAAUUGUCAGAGGUGAAAUUCUUGGAUUUAUUGAAGACUAACUACUGCAAAAGCAUUUGCCAAGGAUGUUUUCAUUAAUCAAGAACGAAAGUUAGGGGAUCGAAGACGAUCAGAUACCGUAGUAGUCUUAACCAUAAACUAUGCCGACUAGGAAUCGGGCGAUGUUGACAAAAUGACUCGCUCGGCACCUCAUG
rnacentral:rRNA from 1 species